AGUGAACGCUGGCGGUAGGCCUAACACAUGCAAGUAGAACGGCAGCACAGUAAGAGCUUGCUCUUACGGGUGGCGAGUGGCGGACGGGUGAGGAAUACAUCGGAAUCUACUUUUUCGUGGGGGAUAACGUAGGGAAACUUACGCUAAUACCGCAUACGACCUACGGGUGAAAGCAGGGGAUCUUCGGACCUUGCGCGAUUGAAUGAGCCGAUGUCGGAUUAGCUAGUUGGCGGGGUAAAGGCCCACCAAGGCGACGAUCCGUAGCUGGUCUGAGAGGAUGAUCAGCCACACUGGAACUGAGACACGGUCCAGACUCCUACGGGAGGCAGCAGUGGGGAAUCUUGGACAAUGGGCGCAAGCCUGAUCCAGCCAUACCGCGUGGGUGAAGAAGGCCUUCGGGUUGUAAAGCCCUUUUGUUGGGAAAGAAAAGCAGCAGGUUAAUACCCCGCUGUUCUGACGGUACCCAAAGAAUAAGCACCGGCUAACUUCGUG
rnacentral:rRNA from 1 species